AUCUGAGAAGCGCGGUGCUGCUGCUGCUGGAGGAGUUUGUUCUUCCUCCAAAAUUCUCACUCGUUCUUCUUCAACUUGUGGUUGCGGAGCUUGCAUUGUUCUUUUGUCCAAGUAUGAUCCUGUGCAUGAAAAGGUUAAGGAUUUUACAGUGAGUUCAUGCUUGACACUUUUUUCCGGUAUAAAUGGGUUUUAAAUUACAACGAAUGAAGUCCUUGGAAAUAUUAAAGAUGGAUUCCACACCAUCCAAAAAAGAACCUCAGGAUUCCAUGCUUCUCAGUGUGGGUUUUGUACUCCAGACAUGUGUAUGUCUCUCUUCUCUGCUCUU